UACGGAGGAUGCGAGCGUUAUCCGGAUUUAUUGGGUUCAAAGGGUGCGUAGGCGGACUGUCAAGUCAGCGGUAAAAUUGAGAGGCUCAACCUCUUCCCGCCGUUGAAACUGGUGGUCUUGAGUGGAUGAGAAGUACGCGGAAUGCGUGGUGUAGCGGUGAAAUGCAUAGAUAUCACGCAGAACUCCGAUUGCGAAGGCAGCGUACCGGCAUCCAACUGACGCUGAGGCACGAAAGCGUGGGGAUCAAACAGG
rnacentral:rRNA from 1 species